CUUACUUCCCCAUUAGCAGGGAUUUCUAGAGGAGGGUUGAAUUCAUUUGGCUAACAAAGAAAAACUACUUCCCGAGGAGCCUAUUUGAUAACCCCUCACAUAGCUAAAUGAAGUCUC
ensembl:misc_RNA